GAUGAACGCUGGCGGCGUGCCUAAUACAUGCAAGUCGAGCGAACAGACGAGGAGCUUGCUUUUCUGACGUUAGCGGCGGACGGGUGAGUAACACGUGGAUAACCUACCUAUAAGACUGGGAUAACUUCGGGAAACCGGAGCUAAUACCGGAUAAUAUUUUGAACCGCAUGGUUCAAUAGUGAAAGACGGUCUUGCUGUCACUUAUAGAUGGAUCCGCGCUGCAUUAGCUAGUUGGUAAGGUAACGGCUUACCAAGGCAACGAUGCAUAGCCGACCUGAGAGGGUGAUCGGCCACACUGGAACUGAGACACGGUCCAGACUCCUACGGGAGGCAGCAGUAGGGAAUCUUCCGCAAUGGGCGAAAGCCUGACGGAGCAACGCCGCGUGAGUGAUGAAGGUCUUCGGAUCGUAAAACUCUGUUAUUAGGGAAGAACAUAUGUGUAAGUAACUGUGCACAUCUUGACGGUACCUAAUCAGAAAGCCACGGCUAACUACGUG
rnacentral:rRNA from 1 species